ACGGCUCUCGUGGAAAUGCCGGUGCACUUAAAGGAAGUUUCAGAAUCGGAACAGCAAGUUUAAAUUCCGAUGAAAAUGAAAUAGUUACAUAUGCGGUACAGUGAUCUUCAUUUUAGUGAUUUAAGUGCUCUUGCAACAAUUAUCGUGUAUUUGCAUCGGAGCAUGGCAGAUCCUCUAAAAGAAGUCCAGCAGAUGCCGAAGGAUGAUUCAAACAGCAUUACCAGGGAAUUCCAGCAGCACCCACUGGGACCGUUUCUAGAAGAAAAUUGAAGCAGAACGUCGCACUAUGGCCUAGCAAGCGCCUACACCAACUAUACCGAACCGAAAGGGGUUUCCCUGGUCCGGCGUCCACGAUGGCUCGGCCUGAGGAAGGCGUCGUUGUCGCUGGUCUGACUGGUGUGCUGGAAGCCAUUUAUGGCAGCUUGUUGUUCAGAAGAGUGGUGCAGCAGCGCAAACCCCAAAUAUAGGAAUGGUGGGCCCCAAAGGGCGAAAAGCUGGCCGACUCCCGCGAAAAGCCGCUUGGCGCCAGCCUGUAGCAGAUUCUUGGAGGUUAGUGGGGUUUUUUCUUCUUAUUUUGCAUUUGCUGCGAUUUGCCAAAACCGAACCAUCAUAUGCCUGACUGCUAGUGGUAGAUGAAAUACCAGUGCCAAAAAUGGGCAAAAUGAAUAAGUAGCACCAUGCGAUUUGGCAAGUACCUUUGAUCGUGGAAAACAUCUGCACCUUCUCUAGUGUGACUCAUAAUUAGUAGGCGUAGGAGCCUUCAUUUCGCGUUGCUAUGCGCCCUUAGUCACACCUGUUAAAGAAAAAAAAAAAUGACAACAUGUGCCAAUAGAGAAAAUAAGGCGCCUUGAAAAGUAGGCUAUGAGUACAGUUUGAUUGUGAACAUUUUUUUUUCAAAUAACAGACAUAGGAAUAGAAAUCAAACACAGAUGUUAAAACUGUGACGCUUUUUGGGUAACGUUCGGUGUAAUUCCUUCAAAUAUCUGAACAAUUCGAUUUCCAGAUAGAGCAAACUGUUGGAUCAGAUUUUUCA